rnacentral:lncRNA from 1 species
CAAACCAUGAGACCAAAUAAACAGUGGCUUGAACUACAAACUAGGUUUCGCAGAAUCAACAAAGCAGUAGAACGGAGUAACAAAUAUCAAGAAGUACUUGCACUACUUGAGCAAGAAAAACAAUCUCGUAGCAACACAGCUAGAUUAUCUCCCAAAAUUCAACCCCAUACAAUUCUCCUUCUUUUCAGUUAAUUUUUUCCUUUCCAACUCAAUUUAGCUUCAGUUUUCUGAUGUCUGUCAGCAUCUUUACUAAUUAAGAAUGAAAAGAAUUCACCCUUGUUGAGCAUGUAGAUUAUUCACCCUUGUUUUUGAGAUGGGGUGCAGCAAUGGGUUGAACAGUAUGGUUUCUAGGAGGAAAGUUAUGGCGGUAAAGUUGCCAUCCCAGAGCACUCCGUCUGUCCACACAUGAGUUCAGAUGUACAUGGUUUCCUGGGCCUGUGUCCUAUAGAAUAUCACAAUGUACUAACAGGUAAGAGCACUUCAAAAUGUUUACCUUUAAACCCAAUUUAAGGUCAUACUUGGAACUUGGAAGAGCUCCUGGCUAACUUAAAACUCCAUCUUGGGUUAGUGAAUUAUCGUAAAUCUCAUAUUUCCAUCCACAAGUGCAAGUUCAUACAGAAACUGCAACUCCUCCCAGCAAAUAUAAGGGAAUGAGAACGGAUCACAACAAACGCUACUAGAAAGCUACCAUAUACCACAUUUGAUUGAAGUUAUUUUGGCACACAAAGCAUAGCAGAAUGGCCCUCUGUACCUAGUCAACUUUGAUACACCAACACAGUACAAGAACAAGUGCUUAUCACAAAUUUGCAAACAGACUUUGAGCCCCAAAUACUUGAAUGCCCGUUUAAGUCAAAAGUCAUCAAGAUUUUAUAAGAUAAGAUGGUAAAAGUAAAAGAGGUAAUAAGCUGAUAAGAUGGUAAAGGUAAAAAGGCACAUGGAAACUGCAAUAAGCUACUGAACUAGCUCUAAGAAAAGUGUCUGCCUUACCAGCUAAACUAAUUUACGACAUCUAAUUACAACACAUACAUGUACAGAAAAAAUCAAUAUCCGUUUAGCAGAGAGACAGAAUAUAACUUUUUAUCUUUUAAUGUCAAACAUAUCCUACUAGUUUAAUACCCCCCACCCACCUCACCCCACCCCUCCCCUGCGUAAUAGCAAGGUGGCAUAUACCCGGAUUAAGUUUGGGAUUAAAUUUUAUACUUGUUUUGUUGAAGGUAUAACUAAAAUUUAUACCUCAAACAUGGUGUUAUUUUAUCCCACCCGGGGGAUAAAUUAGUCUCAUGGUUAUAGGAUUAUAAUCCUGGGAAUUGGGAUAACUUUGGAUGUGAACCAAACAAGCCCUAUGCACAAUUUCAUACUAUACUGAGCAUUCAAAUAUUUUUUUAAUAAUGAAAAAAAGAAAAAGAAACGAUCACCUAAAAGAUUCCCAGAACUUUUUCUUAUGAGGAAAACAUAAUGCCUGCCCACUUUUAGGCGUGGUAGACAACCAAAUCCAUAAAUGAAUCUUUAUACUUGAUUAAGUGACUUCAUUUUUCUUCACAACGAAAGACAACUUUUCUUUACAUUUUUUUAACAUCAAGAACAACUAAUAGCUCGAGCAGCGGAGAAGCACUUAAGAGUGUAAGGGAUUUAGGAAGUAGGAGUAAGACAAAAUACACACAUUGCGAGACUAGCCAGUAAGAUAGGAAUGAAGUUGAGGUGAUAUUAGAUGGAACUGAGGUACCUAAUGAAGACGGUUCAGAAAUGCAGUCUCAGUAUUCCAGAAGAGCAAUUUGAUAGAUGUUAUGCCUAGCAAGUGCACUAUAGUAGGAAUAUUGAAUUGGAAUACUGCCAAAGUUAUGAGAUAAGAGGAUACCCAGGCAAAGUGAAAAUCAAGUUCUAUAAAACGACAGUAAGUUCAGUUAAGCAUGACGAGAAUUGAGUACCUGGAGUGCAAGACUCAUUAAGUGGUAGUAACAUAAGAAAAAAACUCACUUAAUGGUUAAGAUCUGAAUGAUUUAAGACUCGGAAUUUUUUUUAAAAAAAAACAGACUUAAUAACAGAGAUCUGAAUGAUUCAAAUUAAAACCUUUAUUAAGUGCAAACAAAUUGAGGCCUUGGUAUAUUAGUAGUAUAGUUACUAUAGUAUAUUAGAGUACCUCUAAUGUAUGAGAAUCCUUAAAUAUGGAGUAUUGAAACAUCACAAACCCAAAUAGAGCAUUUAUGAUACCGCGGAUUCAUUCAGCCGACCCCAACUAGCUUGAGAUUGAGGCCUAGUUGUUGUUGUAAGAACUGUUAGAAUAUGAAUAGGUUUAUACAAUCCUAUUACAUGAAUAAGUUUAUACAAUCCUAUUAGAAUCAGAGAUGGACCCACAUGUAUAGGUGGGGGUGCACGCGUUAACUUCGGAAAAAAUCAUGUAUAUAUACAUAUCUAUCUCAAAAAACUAUAGAAACAGAGAAUAUAAUAAAGAGUGCACCCUUAGAGAAACAUAAAACUGCUUUAGUCCGCUGGUAGAAGCGAGGAAAUUCACCCCUGGGACCUGCGUUCUAUCCUCGUCAACAUCCCCUUUUUUACUCUUUUUAUUACUUACUCUUUUUAUCACAAACUUAAGGGUUUAUUUAUAACAUCAAAAUUGCUAAAUAAGGGGGAUAGGGUUUAUUUAUAACGUCAAAAUUGUUAAAUAAGGGGAUUCAAAUUCAUGACCAUUCAAUAGCUAUUAAUGACUAAUCAACUACGACAUUAUCCAUUAAUCGUCAUUAAAAAAUUCGUUAUUAUCCAUUAAUCGUUAUUGAAAAACUCACUAUUAUCCAUUAAUCAUUAUUGAAUAAUUCGGUAAUGCUUAAAUUAUGAUAUUAUUAGUGCACCCAGACUCUUUAAAUCUAAUUAAAAUAGGCAUAAGUUUAUACAAUUCUAUUAGAAUAGGAAUAUGUUUAUACAAUCCUAUUUAGAAUAGGAAUAGGAAUAGUAAAUAGUAUCCUACUUGGUAAAGGAUUGUAUAAUAGAUUUGUAGUAUCUACAAUAGGGUCUCAAUGUAAUACUGUAGACACGACAACAAUUCAAUAAUACUCUUUUUCAAUAUUUCUCACAUGGUAUCAGAGCCUCUACGAUCUUGAUAGAAAAUCAAAGAGUUUUCGCUGCCGGCGGGUGGCUAUUACCCAUAUAUCCUCUGCCUGUCUGGUCAAUGAUUAUGUUAACAAAAGUAGGACCAAUGAUGCAUGCAUGAACCCCAUAUUCAAGGGAAGAAAUUCAGUCAGAUAGGUCACCGUGCAUCAAUUUUCGGUGACUUUCUAGGGCUGUUUUGUGUCAACCCCAUAUCCGUCGGUAUUUGUGUAGCACCGUUCCAUCUUUUCGGUGACUACUUUUUCAUAUUUAAUUUAUGUAGCACCGUGCCAUCUUUUCGGUGACUACUUUCUCAUAUCUAAUUUGUGUAGCACCGUGCGAUCUUUCCGGUGACUACUUUUUCAUGUCUGAUUUGUGUAGCACCGUCCUAUCUUUUCGGAGACUACUUUUUCAUAUUUAAUUUGUGUAGCACCGUGUCAUCCUUCCGGUGACUACCUUUUUUUGCAUAUCUAAUUUGCGUGGCAUCGUGCAUCUCUCCGGACUACUUUUCAUAUUUAAUUUGCAUAGUACCGUGGAUUUUCCUGAACUACUUUCUCAUAACUGAGUUGCAUAGCACCGUGUCUUUUCGGGUGACUCCUCAAAUUUGAUCAGUGUGGUUCCAUUCGUCUUUCCGAUGACUCCUCAAAUUUGAUUAAUUUGCGUGGCAUCGUGCAUCUCUCCGGACUACUUUUCAUAUUUAANNNNNNNNNNNNNNNNNNNNNNNNNNNNNNNNNNNNNNNNNNNNNNNNNNNNNNNNNNNNNNNNNNNNNNNNNNNNNNNNNNNNNNNNNNNNNNNNNNNNNNNNNNNNNNNNNNNNNNNNNNNNNNNNNNNNNNNNNNNNNNNNNNNNNNNNNNNNNNNNNNNNNNNNUAUUUUCUAGUUGGGUCGUGACAUCAUUCCGACCCUACCCAUAUAAUUUCUCUUUUUCAGUAGGUUCGUGCCAUCAUUCCGACUCUACCCAUAUUAUUUCUCAUUUUUCAGUUGGGUUGUGCCAUCAUUCCGACCCUACCCAUAUCAUUUUAUUUCUUAGAUCGUGACCAUUCAGCCAUCAAAUCUAAUACUCUGGCGUAUGAGCAUGUUCCGGCCAAUUUUUCGGUGACUUUCUUGUUUAAUAACGACUCAUCUAUUGAUUCCAACACGAUCCAUAUACUUAUACUAGAUUUUGAGCACUUUGUUGCUCAUGGGGAGUUUAGUAGCCUUGUAGGUCGAUUAUGUAAGUCACUCUAUGGUCUAAACAGUCGUUGCAAGUUUGGCUUGGGAAGUUCAACACUAUAAUUUUAUCACUCCGUGUUUUAUCGGCAUUAUGCAUCAAAUUCAGUAUUUCAUGAGAAGAUUAAGCACAUUGAGAUUGACUGACAUUAUGCAUCAAAUCCAAUAUUUAAUGAUAAGAUAAGCACAUUGAGAUUGAUUGUCAAUUUUAUGAAGUCGACUAAUCAACUUGCAGAUAUCUCACCAAUCCCCUCAUUGGGCCUCGUAUUAAUUACAUUUGUAACAAGCUAGGUACAUGAAUUGUAUGCACUAGCUUGAGGGGGAGUGUUAGAACAUGAAUAGGUUUAUACAAUCCUAUUAGAAUAGGAAUAAGUUUAUUCAAUCCUAUUAGAAUAUGAAUAAGUUUAUACAACCCUAUUAGAAUAGGAAUAGGUUAAUACAAUCCUAUUUAGAAUAGGAAUAGGAAUAGCAAUAAGAAUAGAAAUGAGAAUAGUAAAUAGUAUCCUACUUGGUAAAGGAUUGUAUUGUAGUGUCUAUAAAUAGGGUCUCAAUGUAAUAUUGUAGACACGACAACAAUUCAAUAAUAUUCUUUUUCAAUAUUUCUCACAAGAACAAAAGAAAUUUUGUAUUUUUCAAUGCAUUCAUGAUCUGACAGAAACUAGAUACUCUUUCUCCAGUGGUUUCCCAUAAUUAUAAUCUGAUAGAAGAUCAACUCUAAGCAAGAUUUAAUAGUGCAAUGUCAUUAAACGAGGUGAAUUUACUUUUCUGUAUAAGUGAAUAUGAGGCUAAAGUUCAAGCGACCACAUAUCAGAAAAUGUAAUUAAUGAUUUUGCAGACAACUAUUUAGAUUAGAUGCAACAGACAUUAAUAAGAAUCCAGCAGGCAGCUAAAACUUUUCUCACAAAAUGCAAGACAGUAACAACAUUAAACAACAAUCUCAGUACGAAAACUAUUUAUCAAAAAGAUCAUUCAGUAUAAAAUUUCAAAUCUAAUUCUAAGAUCCAUUAUGAAGUACCGGAAAGUAGCAGGCACAACACCAUGUGACAGCCUACAUUAACUAGUUUAUCUGGGUCCUUGAGCUCGCUGCACAUCAUAACCACCCCAAGCACCAGGCCCAUGUCCAUAUUGAGAAUAACCUUCAGCACCACCCUGCACCUAAAAUAUAAAAGAACAACUAAACUUAGAAAAUAAAAUACUAAGGAAAAGAAGUCACAUUUCAUCUAGAUGAACAAGAGCAAAAUACUGUUGUCCUUCUGCUCACUUUGAAAUCCCAUCAAAUGCCAAAACCACAACAGAAUUACUUACAGGAUGAGCAGGGUUCAUAGGAUUCAUUCCGUAAUUAGCAGGAUAAUAAUUCCCUGGAUAACCAGAUUCCGGAUUCCCAUAAUUUGCAUUGUACCCUGCACCUGUGCAGAUAAAGAUGAACUUCAUGAAACUGGUACAGUACUAAUAAUCUAUGUCCAAUAAAACAUGAGAAAUUUUAAAGCAGCAGCUGCGAAAGAUUAUGUGUGUGUCUCUGUCUGUCUAUAUACAAACAAAAAAUUAAACAGGGCACCAAUUGGAGCAAUCAUAUCCAACUGAGCUUGUCAGGGAUUUGAACCUCCAAUAAACUAUUACAAACCCGUUUUUUGUUAUUUUGUUAUUUAAUAAAAGAGGAGAUAAACAGUAUUAUAUGGAGCAAAUUCAAUACACUCCAAAGAAGCUUGUGAAGGACUUAAACCUAAUGUAAAAUUUGAUAAAUUCUACUAUCCACUUAAGGUAAAUAUUAUUAGAAAAACUCUGAAUUCUGAUAUGAAGCAAUAAAUCAAAUAGACAACCAGGUAACUGCGUGAACCAUAUAGCAGCUUAAUACAUUAAAACAAUGUCACUAUUUGAUCAUGCUUAAAAGUGCUCAAUCAAGCAAAGACAAUUCCGCUGAGAAACACAACAGCAAGGAAAAUUUGUCUUCAUCAGAAGAUGGAUCUUUCAACGUGCUUUUUCAUAUCUGCAUUUUACAGUUUCUGAACUUGGAUAAGGAAAAGUACCUGGAUUCCCUACAGCUGCUGCUGCUCGGGCUCUUUUUUCUGCAUUAGCAACCUCAGCUCGAAGUUUUUCAAGUUCUCGAGCCAUUGUUAGCAAUUUUUUCUCCAUAACCUGACCAUGUUCAUAGUUUUCUGCGUAUCCUUUCUUCUCAUUCUCAAUAGCUGCCCUGUAAGCCAAGAGUACAGUAAGAAACUAUCAAUUUGAAAAUGUUCCACAGAGAGCAGAACUCUGGGGAAAAGAAUACCUUGCUCGCUGCAGCUCUUGUUUUAGACCUUCAAUUUCAGCUUUUAUUGCUGGAGCCUGCUGUAAAUCUGCAGUCAUUCUACUCAAAUCCUGUGUCAUUCUUUGAUACUCAACAGUAAGCUCUUGUCUGGCAGCAGUAAACUCCUUAAUAUCCGAGCGCACUCGCAUAAGCUCAGACCUCAUACCAUCAGCUACUUGGAGAUCCAUUUCCAACUUAGCAGACUUCUCAUAAAACUCUCUCAUUUGCACAUCAGUUUCCAUACGCAAAGAACGGGCAUAAUGAUCAGUUCGCUGAAGUUCGUAUUGAGCAGCUUCUACUUCUUGUUUCAGUGCUACAUGAGUUGCAGCCAACCGCUGGUUAUCAACUAAUAAUCCUUGAAUCUCAUCAUGCUGACUAGCCAGGUGUUCCUCAAGAACAGCAGGGUGUGGAGGCAUUGGUCUGGAGCCCAUUCCAAACUGUGAUUCUCUCAUUUCUUCAAGCAUUGCUGGAUGAGGCACCGGCAUGCGACCCCUAGCAAACUGGGACUCAUGCAUUUGCGGAGGAAGUCCACCAUGAGGACCACCUUUCAUUGGAAGUGGAGGCCCGCGAUUUCGACCAGCCAUCUUCUUUGUUUUAUCUUGUCUUGGUUAUGAAAUGAUCAAAUAUAUCUGUUAGGAAAAAACACCAAUUGAUAUCAGUGACUUAUGAAAACUACGAUGGAUAAGGGAAUAAGGGGGUCUUAGUAAAUGACUUCCAUCCCACCCCAAACCCUUGACCUAAAAUCAAUAGUGAGGGACAGAGCAUCAACAUAGCAUAAAAGGGGAAAAAAACUUCUACACCUAAGCAGUAUCAAUUUAUUUUUUUACAGAUGACACCCAAAGCUGUGACCUAGUGGUUUAUGAAGUGGGUGAGCACUUUGAAGGUGGAAAUGAAAAACAACAAAUCAAUGACGGCUCAACCCUAAAGCCACUAAAGCAGUGGAAACAAAUAAGGGCCUCAAAAUUACAAAUCCCUGAAAAACCCUAAACCCCCAAAUUCAGUUCAAACGAACACACAACGAUAUAUGAUUAUCAUGCAUGAGAAAAACGAAGCUCAAAUACAAACAUAUAUACAUCCGAAGACGCCAAAUCGCACAGAAAAAGAAAUAAAUUCUAGCAAGAAGCAAGAUUAAACGAACACAGAGACAGUAAACCCAGAAGAUGAAGGAGAUACAUACCUAAAAAGAGCUGAACAAAUCUGAUGAAGGCGAUGUAAACUGUUAAUUGUGAAAAGCACCGUAUUGAGUCAUGUCAGAAUGAACGCUGCGCUUCCAAGGACAAAAAAUAAAACAAGUAUUUAUUGUUUGUAAUGUUUAAAAAUAUUUAUACAAAGAUUAGAAAAAAGAAAAAAAAUAGUGAUUGAAAAUUCAAACAGGUACAUUUUAAUUUAAUAACAAUAAAAAAUUAAUUAAUUUUUUUUUUAUAAUAGAUAUUUAAGAUAGUUUCUCUCUAUAAAAUAAUUUUAAUAAUAGAAGCACGUUAAUAAUUGUCUUUUUUUGUAAUUUAACUCUCAAAAACACUUCAAAAAAAAAUCAGUCAAACACAAUUUGCUUAUAAAAACACUAAUUAGUCAAACACAAUUUGUUUUUUUUUUCAAAAGCACUUUUUUAAAGAACCAUUUUUAAAAACGCUUUUAAAAAUAAGUUAUUUUUAGCAACAAUCCCAAACAGGCUCUUAGUUGGUAUGGAGAAUUGAUUGAUCCCCUUUAAUACCUUAUGAGUCGAGCCUAUCUCAUAGGGUUUGCCUAUGCGUUUUACAUAUCCUGUGUGGUUUGCAGGCUAUAUCAUUAUAGCAACUGCGGGUUAUACUAAAAUUUUCAAAAAAAAAAAAUUACCUUGAGAUUUCUUUCGGACAUUUUAAGCUCAAACUAAUUUAAUCAUCAUAUAAUUAAAUUUAAAAAUACAUUGUCUUAACUUUAAAUAUCUUCUAAAGAUAACAACACAAAGAAAAAUAUUAUACAACUAAUAAAUGAUACUCCAAUUGACAUAUUCCAUAAGGUGAAGUCUUAAUUCUAUUUUUAAACACUUCUAGAAUAAUUCAAUCAAAAUUAAAAUAUUUAAAUACUUAAAGUAAAUAGCAAACAAACAAAUAUUUUAACAUAAUAUUCUUCAUGUACUCAGAUGUAUAAAUUUUCAAUGUGAACUUAUUAUGUUUAUCUCUUUAACAUAAUUUAUCAACUGGAGAAUACAAGCAACCCAACCAGCAUAAUUUGUCCAUAUAAAAUUUAAUUAAUUAUCCAUGAUUGUCAUGAAAUGAAUACAAUACGAACAUUAUUAUACAUUUUGUUGAUAAUGCAAAGACAAAAAAAAAAAAUCUCAAAAAUUCUUUUUCCGUAGUUGCUCUAGAACAAAUAUCUUUCAAUAACUUUUCAAAUAUAUUCUUCUCAUUUGAGUAAAUUUUAUUUCUUCAAACUUCCAGUCACGAGUAUAUGUAUUUGAGAAAGUCGUGGAACAUUUGGCAGCGACCGGUCGCAAUGAUUUGCACCUAGUCGGAGCAAAAAGCAAAAAUCACUUUCAAGAUAGUUACUCGCACAAUAAUGUUUUGACUCAGUAUUGUUUUUUAAUAAGUUUCUCGACUCUUAGUCAGAGAUUUCGGGUCGAUAGGCACAAUAGUAACAAACGGCUAAUGACAAUUAUUCAAUGUAAGAAGACCCCACUUCAUGGAAUUUUGAAGCACCAAAUUGAAGUGAAUACCACAAAGGCGCCUAGAGAUAGCAAUAAAACAAACCAACGACUAGUUUUUUUUUUCUUCCAAAUAUAUGUACAUAAUUCAUUCUCUUAAUCAUUUCAUCAUAUCAAGUUUUGAACUUUCAUCAAUUUUUCUGAUACUUGAUAUACAACAUGGAAGCAAUAUGGAAUUUAGAAGAGAAAUGGAAAAUAUCGAAUCGAGGAGCUAUAGCCUUACUGGUAAUUUGCACCUGUUCCUUAGUUAUUGGAACCUGCAUUAUUGCUGCUUUAAGGAGAAAUGUAAGAAGGAGAACAGAGCCGCGUGUUGAUGAUUCAACAGACAUAGAUUGUUUAGAGCCACAAGCAGAGCUGGGUCCGGUGAAGGAGGUGCUUACCAGUUCUGUGAGGUGGAGCCAGAAAGAGAAGCUUUCUCCAUUGCUCGUUAGCGGAGAUCUGCAAACUGAAGCUGAUUUUGGAUGGCAAAAUCGCGGUUCAGCUUCACCUGUGUGGAAAAGACCUAUACUUAUGGGUGAAAAGUGUGAGCUGCCAAAGUUCAGUGGUCUUAUACUCUAUGAUCAGAGAGGUCAUGCCACUUCAUCAAGUCGAUAAAUGGAUUCAAAUACGAUCAGGUAAAACAUAAAUACAUAAUAAGAGGCAAAAACAUCAAGAGAAACAACAUCUAAUCAUUCCGAAGAAUUUAUAUUUAUAUACAUAGUUCAGUUUUUACUAUACUCCGAAAGCAUACGUAUAAGUUCAGGAUAAUUACUUAUAAAAUAAUGGAUGCUGAAGAACACUGUAUUUGUUACUGUCAUACCUAGGGGCGGAUAUACUGUAAAACAGACUUAAAAGUUCACGUGAACUCAAUAGCUUUUGUCCAGAUCUCGUAUAUAUAUAUCAAGGAAUCCACCAAGUAUCUAUAAAUAUUUCAUACUAUACCAUCAGUUUCUUUAUUUAAACGUAAUUCUGCAUCUUCAAUCUAUGAUUUGAUAAGGAAAAGGGGAACAAGAAAAAUAUAAGCAUUAGAAUCAAUGCAGAAAGAUAUUCAGUUAACGGGUAUAGCUGAAGGCGUUCAAUGACUAGGGAACUGCCAUCACCUUGAGCUUGGAAUUCCCACCAUUCUCCACGCAAUCAAGUGAGAACUUACAAUCACCUAGGACAAAUAAAGGGAAAUGUACAAAUUAAAAGGUAUACUUGUUAUUUAACAGCUCGAGAAAGAAUGAAAGAUAUAUGUUCACAAAAUACACAAGUAUCGAGAAUUUUACCUUCUUCCUGGGUGUUUUUUCAUGCACAAGACAUUACUUUCUUAGAUCUCUAGUUCAUGAAUAAGACACUAUAAGGCCUUCGGCAGAGUCCUCCCUUGAAGAAUUUCUGUAAUGUGCAAAUAAGAGCAAUUGUACAACUCCUAAAAGUGUUCCGAUGCCAUUUGGUACCUGAAAUUUAAGUAGAAACCCUUUGUGAGUCAGGCAAGAGGAACAAAAGACAAAAAAAUUUGGAAAUUUCCUAAGUGAGAGAAAGAAACUCACAUAUAUAAAGGGAUCAAAACUGAAAAUUCCAUACAAAAGGAAAGAGGCACUCAUUAGGAAGCUGGAGAGGGACAGGAAAAAAGGCAUGAAUUCAACACUCCUGGUCCUGAUCACCAGAUUCUGGAAUACAAGUUAGUCAGUGAAUCCGCGGAAAAACGUUAGAGAAUAAGAACUUGAUGGAAAAUUCUGAAUGUCAACGGUUAGACAUACAAUAAUUAACAGUGGGGAGGCAAACAUUGAUAUCAAGGAAGCACAACUCAGGGUGCCAAUGAUGACGCGUCGGAGUUCCAGAUCAAGUAUAAACAAGCUUCCAAUUACAAUAAUUGCAAAUAGGCCAAAGACUGUGAGUAUCCAUCCGAACAUCCUGAACUACAAACAACAAUGAUGGGCAUACGGAUUAACAGAUUACGUUAUGAAUGAGUGUGAAAUUGCUUUAUUAAUUAAAUAAUACAACAGAAGAGUAUUAACCUUUUUCUCUUUCUCUGUAUACAUUACAUAAAGUACAAUGUAGGCAAGUUGAAAAACAGCACCAACUGAAUUAACCGAUGUAACCAACAAAUUGUCGGGAGAUACGAGAGGGGUGCCAUACCAGGCACAAAUUAAGCAGUUCAAGAGCCCGUAUAUGUAUGGCAACCCCGAGAACUGUUCAGUUGAUUGAUUUCUCAUUAUUCUCAUGAAUGUAGGCCUGAAAAUAAAGAUAAAAAUGAUACUGGAUUAUGGAGAAAGGAGUAAUUGGUCAAGGUGAACUUUGUUUUCUAUAUUAUGGAAGUGUGAUAAAACAAAAUGAAGGAUAAAAAGCUUAAGACUCACAUUGGAGACAAAAACAACCCAAAAGCAAAGAUAUUCCCUGCAACAAGGAGCUAAGAUGGUUAACGUUUUCCCUCGAGUCGUGAUAAAGUAUCAACAAUAAGUUUGCAAACCUCAUUUAAGAAAAAAUAAAAAAUUGUUGCAAAGACAAUAGCGAGUAAGCUGAGAAGUAAAGGGUAUUAUCUCGUUUUCCCUCUACAAUCUAUAUCAUUUCACGGCCAGGAAAAAUAUGCCUCCAAUAUGAUUGAGCAAAAAGUGCUUUAAUUUUAACAGGAAAAACACUUCAUCAAGAGUUUAAUCUAGAAGUAAGUUUUAGCUCAAAUAGAGCUACUAAAAUUGCUUUAGGCCUAAAAGUUUGACCCCAUUUCGGACCAACCGUUUGCCCACUCUCAAAAAAAUGUUAAUACUUCUAUCAGAAGUUAGUUUGGUAAAAUACACCCAAAAAAUUACUUCUUUAUUGUACGAAUCACUUAUUGUAUAAGUGAUAUGAGCAAGUUAUACACACACACACACAUUUUUUACUUAUACUUUUGAAAGAAGUACUUCUGCAAAAGCUAGCAGUAAAUCGGGUCUAAAUUUAUAGGCUUAACCUCAUAUAUAGAAAAAGAAAUUAAGAGGUUGCUAAACAGUACACAGUACAAGCAAUCAAUAAUAUAUGAAUGUAACGGAAACUACAAGCAGACAUUUUUUUCAUGCCAUUCACUAGCACGGGGAUGAUCAACCCGUUUGAAAGUUGAAACAUCUGUUGGUGCAGCCGUGCAGUUAGUGAUUAGAAAUAGAAUAGAAGGCAAGUUUAAAUCAAAAGAUGACUACUGGAGGCAGAUAUAGCCUUUUGGCUAUAGGUUCAUCAAACCCAUACUUCUAGAGUCGAGGGUCUAUCAGAAACAAACUCUCUAUCCACAAAGGUAGGGGUAAGGUCUACGUACACCCAUUCUCCCUAGACCCCACCAAUGGAAACUAUAUUGGGUAUGUUGUUGUUGUAGUACAGAUAAGGUAAAACCUAUCCAAAUCUCAGAUUCUCCCUAACAGACUACUUCUUUUUGCGGUUUACCUUCACGUGGGCACAGGAUAAACCCCACUCCACCAUAAUAGCCCGUAAGCCACACAUGAAAGGUAAACCGCACUAGCCAAGCCCUGUGCGACUUCAAAGCAAACGAAUUUUCUAUCCCCAACNNNNNNNNNNNNNNNNNNNNNNNNNNNNNNNNNNNNNNNNNNNNNNNNNNNNNNNNNNNNNNNNNNNNNNNNNNNNNNNNNNNNNNNNNNNNNNNNNNNNNNNNNNNNNNNNNNNNNNNNNNNNNNNNACCCCCCCCCCCCCCCCCAAUAUAUUUUUUUAUUCUCACAACAUCUUGAACUUCAACAACUUCCCCAAUUCUUCUAGCAAAAAAAUAUGUUCACUUAGCUAUCUUAAAUAAUCUUCCACAAAGUAAAGAUCAUCCCUUUAAUUUUUGCCAAAAAGAGUUGCAAUGAUUCUAUAUAAAAUUCAGAAUUAUUUCUAAAUCUUGUACAAAAUAAAGAAACACUUUGCAGAAAUCACCAAGACCAAAUUUUUAUGACAAAAAAAGUGUAGUAUAGUAAUAAUUACACAGAAAAAAAAAUGAAGUCUUACCGGCCAUUCCAGCUGCAUCUUUACAGAUUUCAAUAACUUGAGACGAAGCCAAAGAAACCAUCAAAUUUUGACACCACAAAAAUCAAUCUUUAAAUCUCCAACAAGAAAAAACUCAACUCUUCACCGCACCAAACUAUACUUCCAUUUCCACGAUAUUUGUCAAUAUUUUAAAAAAAUAUACUUUAUCUUUUUCGUUUUAUAGGAAUUUGUGUGAUUAUAAAUCAUUUCAUUAAGACAUUAUUAUGUGCAAGAGGGAUGAAACAAAAUAAUCCUGAGAUGAAAAAAUAGUCCGAGAUAAAAAAAAAUUGUGUCUUAUUUGAUAAUCAUUUGGAACAACUUAUCUCAUCAUUUAUAUAUAUAGUGGGAUAACUAGAUAGUUAAUCCCAGAAUAAUUCUAGGAUAACUUGUUUCCAAUCAAAUCGACAAUCCUAAAUUAUUACUCCCUCCGUCCCAUUUUAUGUGGCAACAUUUGAUCGGGCACGGAGUUUAAGAAAUAGAUAAAGACUUUGAAAUGUUUAUCAAAUUGCCCUUAAAAAAAUAGACUUAUUUUUCUCUCUCCUAAUAAAUGUAUUGGAGUACUCUUUUUAAGAUUAAGUGGACCAACAAGGAUAAAAGAGGAAUUGUACCUUUAAAUACUUACCAAAUAAGGAAAUGUGACAUUCUUUUUGGGACUGACCAAAAAGGAAAUAUUGCCACAUAAAAUGGGACGGAUGGAGUAUUCAAUAUAAAAUACAUUAUUUUUUUUGGAACUAUCUAAAGAAAAAAAGUGAAUCAUAUAAACUACGAAAUUCUUUUAAAAAAAAAACAAGAAGAAAUUGAUUAUGUUUUUUUGGCCCUAUAAAAAUGUACAUUUUUCAUAACUUAUAUUUUAAGCAUUAAAUAUGUCAUUUAUAGGUCCCGUUGUCAUUUACAAAGCCAAAGGGGCCAGAUUGUGACAUGUUUUUUUAAUGGACAGCGCGUGUGAUAUUUGGCACACCAGUACCUUUAUAUUUAUUCUAUUCUAACUCUCACGGGUAUUAUACUUGCGGCCCACCGAACCGCGAGUCAUAAUUUUUUUCUCGUUGAGUUAGUUUUUAAAGUGUGAGUAAAGUUUAAAAUCUAAUUUGAUAUGAUACUAGAAUUAGAUUCAUUAUUGAGUCUGAUAUUCGGGGACAGCACUAGAGCCUUCUAAAUAGAUAUACUCUCUGUUCUUGAAUGUUAUGCUUUGGACUAAAUAGUGAAAUCUCGAAUUUUAAAAAAUUGGAUUGGAGAUAUCGAAUCGAGAUGAGAUUACUAAACACCUUAUAAUUAAAACUACAAUCUUACUUCUUUUGAAUUAGCUUUUGAGUAGGGUUAGAUUAGGUCAGGUCGAAGACCUGAUUUAACUUUUAUAAUAUUUAAUUUUUCUCAAAUCUUGUCAAAUCGACUGUAAUUCACAAGCUGAUGGUGGGUCAUUUGUUUAGUAAAAUAGUAGUAUUUAUUUUGCUAUCUUACUAAAUUUUCCACAUUUUUUGAAGUAUUAACAAAACUUGCUUGUGUCUUAUACUUAUUUGCGACGAGUCAUGAUUUUGAUACAAUCUUUGUUGGAUUGACAAAAAUUACCUAUGUAAUUUAAGAGUGGGAAAGUCUUAUAAUGUUUGUCUGAAAUAAUAAUACGAAAGUCAUGUUUCAACUAGAUAUUUUUAAUUUAAAUUUUGAAAGAAAAAAAAUUACACGCAUUUUCAAAUAUUUAUCAGAUAGUUAAGCAAAUCAUAUAAAACAUGUUACCUCCGUUAAAUUAUACACAUUGACCUUAAUUGAAAUCGACUUGAAAUUUUACGACUUGUUGAGACUAAUGUGUAUAAUUUAAAGAGAUGACACAUUUUAAUUAACUUAUCUACACAAUACGUAUUUGAUAAUACCAACACAUUUUUAAAAAAACGAGGCAAACGUGUGUAAUAGGAAUAAGUUAUUAUGUGUUCAGAUUCUCAAACAAAAUAUGUCAUAGUUCGAAUAUCUAAAUAAAAUUUAUUAGCUCAAAAAAUUAUCGAUACUACCUAGUACCUACAUAUUUAUCACUUAAUCAUGAUCAAAUUAAAAUUAUUUGAUUUUAUUAAUUAAUAUAAUAUAAAAUUCAUGCAAGUUUGAAACAUCCACAUGAAGUAAUACCAGGGGUGAAUUUAAGUAUAAAAAAUGGAUUAUCAAACCUGUGGUCAUUCGACAAAACUCGAUAUAUGCUUUGUAUAAUUCUUAAAACAUAUCAAAUAUUAAAUAAAGGAACCCAUCAUCACAAAUGGCUGGAUGAUUCACUAGUUUUACUGUUGGUUUUGAUGGUGAGGCUGAGGGAUCGAUUCCGAUAACGUCUUUUUAAAAAUUAAUUUUAAAACACCAUUAUUUAUUAUUUUUUUAAACAAAAUAAUUUAAAAGCUUGAGAGCUCUUAACUUUUUUUUUGAAAAAUUUUCAUUUUCUUUUUAUAAAGAGUACUUUUAAAAUUUCUUGAAAUGCAAAAUUGCAUGUUUUUUUUAUAAAUGGUUUCUUUUAAUAAUUCCUUUUCAAUCGAUAAUUCAUAUAAUCAAUACAUCUAAUUUUUCUUGCGAUAUAGUACUUGAGAUAUAUCAAACUUUUAAGAAAUUUUUCCUUUAAUAUAUUUUUUUUUCCGCAUAUCAUUAUUGUUGAGGCCCUCAAAUUUGGGAGCCUAAAGUAAUUGUCUUUUUCUUAAAAUCAUGAGGAUAGUAUUUUAUCAUGAUGUCGGAUCCUAAAUUUUUAUGAAGGGGCAGAGCCGCCUCGAUAAUGAUGCACCAGUCUUUCUGAAAUCCUAAAGCUGCCCCCCGAUAAUGAUGUAUCAAUCUUUCUGAAAUCCUAAAUUCGACUCUGAGUAGUACCUGACAAAUCUCCAGAAAGUACCCUAUUUCCAAAGGCAUUUUCCACCAGACAGGGAGACAAAUAAACCAAAAAAUAAUUACAGAGCAAUUUCUUAAGGCAGAGAACAUGUUGAUAUUUUUAAAUCGAAAGAGUGACAAAUGAUUAAGCUAAAUUACUCUCUGUUUACUUUUAGUUGUCCACUAUUUCAAAUAUAAAUUUUUAUUUUUAUUUAUCAUUUAUCAUUUUUCACAUGAUAUCAAGAAAAGACAAUUAUUAAUUUUUUUUUCAUGUUUUCCUCUUAACAUCAAUUAAGGAUCGAUUAAUAGGGAAUUCGGAAUAGUAUGGUAAAUUAGUCAUGUCAAUCUUAAUAAGUAUGUCAAAUCCAAAUAUGACAAGUAAAAGUGAACGAAAAGAAUAAUUAAUUAAGUAUAAUCAUAUUACUUGCUAUAUAAAGUUGUUUGAAACACAAGAAUAAAACACGAAUACGUAACAUUAGUUAAUACUAAUAAUUAAAGGGUAAUGCUAAAUGGCCAGAAAUAUUUGGCCAGAAAUGUAAAAAGACUAGAAUAUCCUUGUUUUAAUUUUUGCAUUUAUUUCCUCAAAAACUUUUCCCUCCAAACAAAACUAACUUUUUUAUAUUUCCCAAACUCCUUGAACUACUAAAACACAAACUAUUUGGCUGCCAAGGAAAGUGAAAAAAUGUUUUUGUGUGCGUAUAGUUUAUUAGAUUUUAUUUUUUUAAAAAAAUAAAAUUAAUUGUUUAGUUAAUAAAAAAAUUGUACGCUUUAGUUAAAAAAAAAAAAUUGUAAUUUUGUUUUUAUACAUUAAUAUGUUUUUCAUUAUAUACCAAAUUAUGUUCAACAUAUACAUAACAUACAUUCUUUCCUCUACCCCUCCCCUGAACUCAAUUAUGAUCAUAAGGUGCCAACGCAUACCUUUGAAAAAUUAUUUUUUCGCUUAAAAUAAACUUCUUUAUUGAAAAGAGACAAUUAAAUUUCUCAUUAAUAAUAACUACAAAUGACUAUCUUAUCUACUUAAGAUUAUACUUAAUUAUUUUGUAAUAUAAAAUUAAUAAAAUAUAGUAAUUAAGCAUAGAUUAAAAGAGUUUAAUUAAUUUUUUCUUUAAAUAUAAUCAACUAAAUAGAUUAGUNNNNNNNNNNNNNNNNNNNNNNNNNNNNNNNNNNNNNNNNNNNNNNNNNNNNNNNNNNNNNNNNNNNNNNNNNNNNNNNNNNNNNNNNNNNNNNNNNNNNNNNNNNNNNNNNNNNNNNNNNNNNNNNNNNNNNNNNNNNNNNNNNNNNNNNNNNNNNNNNNNNNNNNNNNNNNNNNNNNNNNNNNNNNNNNNNNNNNNNNNNNNNNNNNNNNNNNNNNNUUUUUUUCUAGAAAAUCAAUGCGUAACAACAACUCCUUUAAAUAAAUAAGAGUAAUUGUUUAGCCAACUCGGUCAAUUUUAGAUUUUAUUUUUGAGUGUUGUUGAUAUAAAUUUUUAAUAUUUAAAUUUAGAUAUAAAUUAUCUUUUCACGAUUAGAAAUUAUAAAUUUAAAUAGAUAAUCUACACUUUACUCUCUUUUAUACUUUUCAAAAAAAUUCUUAUCAUUAAGAAAUAAGAAAUGGAAAAUAAAUAAACAAAAAAAAAAAGUAAAACGGGGAAAAUUUUGAAAUUGAAAAAGAGAUAUAUUUUUUUACUACUACUGUAAUGUAUAUAUAUAUAUAUAUAUUGUUUUUAUUUUUUUAGAUCUUGAAAAUUUCAAGUGAGAAGAGUGGAAUAUAUAUAUAUUGUUUUUAUUUUUUUAGAUCUUGAAAAUUUCAAGUGAGAAGAGUGGAAUAUAUAUAUAUUGUUUUUAUUUUUUUAGAUCUUGAAAAUUUCAAGUGAGAAGAGUGGAAUAUAUAUAUAUUGUUUUUAUUUUUUUAGAUCUUGAAAAUUUCAAGUGAGAAGAGUGGAAUAUAUAUAUAUUGUUUUUAUUUUUUUAGAUCUUGAAAAUUUCAAGUGAGAAGAGUGGAAUAUAUAUAUAUUGUUUUUAUUUUUUUAGAUCUUGAAAAUUUCAAGUGAGAAGAGUGGAAUAUAUAUAUAUUGUUUUUAUUUUUUUAGAUCUUGAAAAUUUCAAGUGAGAAGAGUGGAAUAUAUAUAUAUUGUUUUUAUUUUUUUAGAUCUUGAAAAUUUCAAGUGAGAAGAGUGGAAUAUAUAUAUAUUGUUUUUAUUUUUUUAGAUCUUGAAAAUUUCAAGUGAGAAGAGUGGAAUAUAUAUAUAUUGUUUUUAUUUUUUUAGAUCUUGAAAAUUUCAAGUGAGAAGAGUGGAAUAUAUAUAUAUUGUUUUUAUUUUUUUAGAUCUUGAAAAUUUCAAGUGAGAAGAGUGGAAUAUAUAUAUAUUGUUUUUAUUUUUUUAGAUCUUGAAAAUUUCAAGUGAGAAGAGUGGAAUAUAUAUAUAUUGUUUUUAUUUUUUUAGAUCUUGAAAAUUUCAAGUGAGAAGAGUGGAAUAUAUAUAUAUUGUUUUUAUUUUUUUAGAUCUUGAAAAUUUCAAGUGAGAAGAGUGGAAUAUAUAUAUAUUGUUUUUAUUUUUUUAGAUCUUGAAAAUUUCAAGUGAGAAGAGUGGAAUAUAUAUAUAUUGUUUUUAUUUUUUUAGAUCUUGAAAAUUUCAAGUGAGAAGAGUGGAUGAGAGUUAUGUUUUCUUUGGUGAAUUUUUUGGUUCCUUUCCCAUGUUUAACUAUGAAAUCAUCAAUAAUUAAUCUCAUUAAUCAUUUUCAAUGUAUUGGAAACAUAAUUGAAGAAUAUAUUUAAUAUUUAAGUUAAAGGGUAAAAAUGUCCAAAAAUAAACUAGUUUAUAGUGUGAACAUGUCUUUUUUCAUUCUGGCCAAAUUAUGGCCAAAUUUUUAUGGCCAAAAGGAUUUUUCCAUAAUUAAAAGGUCCUAAAAAUCGUUAUUAAUAAUCUAGUUGAAACAUAAAAGUUAGGGAAAUACAUAACUACAUUUUGUUACUUCAAUAAACCCAAAAAGUACUCCUCUCUUUUUGGUUCUAAUCACAUCAUAAUUAUGUUCAUUCAAAUAAUUAAUCCCACUAUAUAUAAAACUUCAUGACAUAUAACAAACUUUUUUUUCUCAUUAUUACUCAUCAUCACCUAAAUAAUUUAUGUACAAUUAAUUUUUCUUGGCCUACAAAACGUAUGACUCCUAAAUAGAAAUUGCUUUCUUUGAAGAGGAUGUGGCUUGACCAAAAAAAGCUAAGAAAAAAAGAGAGAGAGUAGUGAAUGGUUGUUAAGAUGGACGAUGUAGAAACAAAGUUAGAGUGUGUUAGGUAAGGCUUGUGACAAGAACAAGAGUCUACAAAAUAAGACAAAGAAAGAAAAAAAAAAUUAUAUUACGUUGAGUUGACAUACUGUGUGAUUUAUCCAGAAUAAAAAUAUGUACAUUUAAUUGGGUUGACGUAUAGUAUCACUUAUCAAAUACAUUGGAUCAUAUGAUAUUUUUCCGUUCUGAUCUCUCCGAUCGAGAUAUCACUUGUUUCAUCAGAGAGAGAUAAAUUGAAUGAUGAAUGAUGCAAAAAUAAAGUUGCUAGGUGUUAGGUAACACAAUGUUUUUGAGGUUGGGUGUUAGGUAAACCUUGUGGUGUGAACAAGGGGAUGUUUGAUUGGUGGGAUAACCGGGUACAUGAUAAUAAUUUUGGGAUAAAUUGUAAAAUUAUUUUAUUUUAUAUUAGAUUAUUAGUAUUAAUUUAUCUCAAUAGAACCUUUUACACUAAAAUGCUAUGAUUAUACUAGUUGCUCUUAGAGGUGAAGAAGUCCUAUCAUCCUCGCACAAUAUCAAAACCCCUAUGGAAUAUAUAGCGAGUAGGAGUGUUUAAUUUGGGUAAAAAUCGAUCUAAAAUAAAAAAAUCAAAUCAAUUUGAUUAAAACAUUUUAUUUGAAUUUGGUUUGGCAUUGUCAAAAAAAAAAAACUCAAGAAAUAUUUGAACCAAAUCGAUAAUUUAUAUAUAUGUUUUUUUUAAUAAUUAUAUAUACAUAAAAAUCCAUAUUUAAAACAUCAUACUCUAGCUGUUGGCUCUUCCAAAUUUGAUUUCAUUUUCUCCCUUAUCAAUGAAGACUCAACUUGGAAGGAAAAAGUAAAUAUUGAUAUGUGUAUGUUUGCUAAUUACUUUUUUUUUUUUUACCCUAUCUUGUCUUUUGAUUUUAUUUUCUUGUAUAAUCAACAAUUAAACCGUUGAACAAUCAAAACAAAUCUAAUCAAUAUUCAAAUCGAUAAAUAUAUUAUAGUUCGUUUGAUUUAAUUUUAAUAAACACUCUUAAAUAGAAGAAUUUUGAAAAAAAUAGAAAUACAUUUUACUCGUGUGAGUAAUUUUGUAAAUUACUACCACCACACAACAAAAUUAGUUACUUUGGAGUUUGGUCCCCCAUAUGAACAAACCAAUUGCAUGAAUGAUGGUAGAAAUUUGAGUGUAUUUGAAUGUUUAUAGUACUAAAUUAAUUUACUUUACCAUGGUUAAGUAUAUAAAGCUAAGUUAAUAUUUAAAACGUAGUAGUUUGAGAUUACAAAAUUUAUUUAAAUUACGGGGUUUUAAAUCAAUAAGUAUAUAUAUUCAUAGAGUUUCUAAGAUAACUAUAAAAUUGAGAUUAAAGUUAUUGAAUUUGAUUGAAUAGAGAAGUAUUGAGAAUACCUUAGAAUUAUUAGUUUCAUCCCUAAACUAUUAACAACUUUAAAAGUACCAUUUACUUGACUAACUGAACUUAAAUAACCCCGAUCUUACAACAUGAGUGAAAUACACCCCUAAAUUCUCGCCAAAUUUAGAGGUAUUUUCAACACUUCUUUCAUUUUUUUAUUAAGUUACCCACACAAGAGUUUGAAAUCACUUGCUAUGUCUUGUGGCAAAUCGAGAUGUAUAUCUAAGUUUAGUUAAU